GAGACUCAGGGUGCUUUACAAGGGACACGGCAGAGCAGGAGAAGAGUUAAGGGAGGGAAGGAAUGAGAGAGGGAGAGAGAGCAUGCUGCAGAAGUGGGCUACUCCUGCUACCCUGGUUUGUGCUGCGUGUGGGCAGGCUUGCUUUUGCAGAGAAAUGAUUCCACAUGAAGUGCGACGCACUCGGCCCCCGUCGUCCUCGGCGGCAGCAGCAGGUGUGAAGUCGUGACACUCUCCCCUACCACACAGAGCUCACCCUUCAGACGCUAAAGACCCCUGGACCGAACAGACAGCCCUACCCAUCCUCUCUAACCAUCCCUCCAUUAUCUUUAUUUCCAUCUUUAAUCCUUCCUCACCUGUUCCUUAGGCCUGGAUUUUCUUUGUUAUCAAGACAAGACCUGAUAAUCAACGGCCUUGGGUGAACUGGAUAGAGAGAGAAAGAGAGACAAGAUUAGGAAGGUUAAUUUAUAGCUAAUUAAAGUGAGACAAAGAACAGAACAUCAAAAAGUGAGGAAAAGAGAAAGGAAAGUGAACUAGAAAGUCAGAGAGAGGGGAGAACAAAAAAGAAA